UACGAAGGGUGCAAGCGUUACUCGGAAUUACUGGGCGUAAAGCGUGCGUAGGUGGUUUGUUAAGUCUGAUGUGAAAGCCCUGGGCUCAACCUGGGAAUUGCAUUGGAUACUGGCAGGCUAGAGUGCGGUAGAGGAUGGCGGAAUUCCCGGUGUAGCAGUGAAAUGCGUAGAGAUCGGGAGGAACAUCUGUGGCGAGGGCGGCCAUCUGGACCAGCACUGACACUGAGGCACGAAAGCGUGGGGAGCAAACAGG
rnacentral:rRNA from 1 species